AACGCACCUUGCGCCCCUUGGCAUUCCGAGGGGCACACCCGUUUGAGUGUCGUGAAAUUCUCAAAACCCUUUUCUUUUGGGAAAGGAUUUUGGACUUGGAGGCUUUUUGCUGGUUUCACCUCGAAGCCAGCUCCUCCUAAAUAAAUUAGUGGGGUCUGCUUUGCCGAUCCUUGACGUGAUAAGAUGUUUCUACGUCUUGGGUUUGGCAUCGUCCCUUGGACUCCUGCUUCUAACCGUCUCAUUGACAAUGAUGGUGUUCCGGUCACCACCGUUUCAUCGGUGGGAGGCUUGACCCACGAAAAGAACCUUGACCUCAAAUCGGGUGAGACUACCCGCUGAACUUAA
rnacentral:misc_RNA from 2 species